GGAAUCGUAGUGAAACCUACACUGUGCCCCUCCGAAGGCAGAGGUCGUAGGUUCGAAUCCUACCGGUUGCGCCA
rnacentral:tRNA from 1 species